rnacentral:RNase_P_RNA from 1 species
CCAGACGGUCGGAUGGUCGCUCCUAUGCAAUGGGGAAACCCGCAUGGGGGAGGAAAGUCCGGGCUCCACGGAAGUACGGUGCCGGGUAACGCCCGGCGGGGGUGACCCCAGGGAAAGUGCCACAGAGAGCAGACCGCCGACGCCCCUUAAUCCCUUGGGAUUGCUGGGUUUCGGUAAGGGUGAAAGGGUGUGGUAAGAGCACACCGCGACCCUGGCGACAGGGUUGGCAUGGUAAACCCCACCAGGAGCAAAACCGAAUAGGGACGGCAC